rnacentral:rRNA from 1 species
CAGCCGCCGCGGUAAUACGAAGGGGGCUAGCGUUGCUCGGAAUGACUGGGCGUAAAGGGCGCGUAGGCGGCGAUCAAAGUCAGGCGUGAAAUUCCUGGGCUCAACCUGGGGGCUGCGUUUGAUACUUGAUUGCUAGAGUGGGGAAGAGGGUCGUGGAAUUCCCAGUGUAGAGGUGAAAUUCGUAGAUAUUGGGAAUAACACCGGUGGCGAAGGCGGCGACCUGGUCCUUGACUGACGCUGAGGCGCGAAAGCGUGGGGAGCAAACAGGAUUAGAUACCCCUGUAGUCCCUGUCUCUUAUAC